CGGGUGAGUAACACGUGGAUAACCUACCUAUAAGACUGGGAUAACUUCAGGAAACCGGAGCUAAUACCGGAUAAUAUUUUAAACCGCAUGGUUCAAAAGUGAAAGACGGUCUUGCUGUCACUUAUAGAUGGAUCCGCGCUGCAUUAGCUAGUUGGUAAGGUAACGGCUUACCAAGGCAACGAUGCAUAGCCGACCUGAGAGGGUGAUCGGCCACACUGGAACUGAGACACGGUCCAG
rnacentral:rRNA from 1 species